rnacentral:rRNA from 1 species
AUUGAACGCUGGCGGCAUGCUUUACACAUGCAAGUCGAACGGUAACAGGCCGCAAGGUGCUGACGAGUGGCGAACGGGUGAGUAAUGCAUCGGAACGUGCCCAGUCGUGGGGGAUAACGCAGCGAAAGCUGCGCUAAUACCGCAUACGAUCUAUGGAUGAAAGCGGGGGACCGUAAGGCCUCGCGCGAUUGGAGCGGCCGAUAUCAGAUUAGGUAGUUGGUGGGGUAAAGGCUCACCAAGCCAACGAUCUGUAGCUGGUCUGAGAGGACGACCAGCCACACUGGGACUGAGACACGGCACAGACUCCUACGGGAGGCAGCAGUGGGGAAUUUUGGACAAUGGGCGCAAGCCUGAUCCAGCAAUGCCGCGUGCAGGAAGAAGGCCUUCGGGUUGUAAACUGCUUUUGUACGGAACGAAACGGCUCUGGUUAAUACCUGGGGCUAAUGACGGUACCGUAAGAAUAAGCACCGGCCAACUACGUGCCAGCCGCCGCCGUAACAC